UUCAUUCUGGAAUCGUCUCAAUGGUCUUAAUUCCAACGAAAUAGAAGGUUAAGUUAGAAUUAUUAGCGAGCUCCUAGCGAGUUCAUAAUUUUGCAAUGUCUGUCCGUCUGUCGGUUAGCACGAUAUCUCGAAAACGAAAGGACCGAUUACGAUGAAAUUUUGCAGGUGGAUUCUUUAUCAUAUCUGGAGAUCGGAGUUUAAGGAUUUAAUGGUAAAAUUAUUAUGAAGAUUCUGGAUGAGGCAGGCGAGUGCAAUACGACGAGCUCUCGAUCAGGGCGAAUUGCGAAGCUUUAUUCUUUGGAAUGUUGGAAUGAUGGCACGCUGCAAACCUUUCUCAAUGAGUGGACCACGUGGCUAAGGGAAGUCGCAGGUUCUGCCUAAGUAUAUUUUUGAUGAAACUUCUCGUAGGUUCAAGAUCUUCCUUGUAGUUUCUUGUGCAAAUGGAGACAACAAUUACUGAUUUUAGUUGUGAGUGCUUGGUGAUUUAUGCCUCUUCGCACUCAACUCAAUUUCAAUGGGAUAUACACUCACACGUUACAGUACCCACCUAACGGACCCCUUUUCCUUGAGCUAAUGAAGUCCAAACACGAGGAGACCAAAGAAAUGUUAUUUCUCUCAACCCCUACGCAAUCGGUCCACUACAAAGGGAUUGAAUAUUGGGUGUCCCUUGGAAGGUGUGUCAUCAGCUUGUGGGCUUGUGGGAGUGGGACCAUCUCAGUUGAAACUUGAACG